rnacentral:lncRNA from 1 species
CCCACAAAUGGGUGUUACAGAAAUGCAGGGAGCGAAAGAGUAAGAACCACUGAGCUAGAAAAACCCAGCCUCCUUUGUUGAGGACCCAAGGCAGAGCACCCUGAGGACAAGAAGGCUCUCGGAUCUAGACGGGCAGAUGUCAAAGCUGCACUUGAUCUUAGCCAGAAGGCCGAGAAGUGAUUGACAGGCAGACGUCAAAGCUGAACAGAACAUUAGGAUGUCACCUCCCUGGUGCCAGACACAGGUGCUAGGGCAUCCUGUCCAGAGCUUCAGGGGAAGGGCAGGAGCAUGAAGAAAAGCUUCCCGAGGGUCCUGAGCCCACUCCUGAAAGAGGAAGAGGUCCCUUUCACCAUCACAACCCACAGCCCACAUUUUCAGAUUAAGGCAGUGACAUGUUCGCGGGAUUCUCUGGUUAUAUUCAUCUCCAAGUUGUUCAGACAAUUAUAACUUAUGAGUGGUGCACAAUGACACUGAGAACACAGGCAACCAACUAAACAAACAAGCAAACAACUAAUUCCUUUGAGAGUCAAAAUCUUCCUGACCCCGAGGACUUUAAAGUUUGCCUGUAAACUGGACUAUAAAAUAUAGGGAUAACCGUGAGCCACGGUGGCAAUGAGGCAUAAUGAGGGGCUCUGGAAUCAGAGUUAGAAGCCGGGCUCUCCCACUUCCCGAAUGUGUGACCGUGGGCGAGAAGGCCAACCUCGUUCAAUUUCUGUCUCUUUGUCUGCAAAACAGAGAUACCACGUUGCAAGUUGCUGGGUGCACCCUGCCAGGUGUGGUGCCCGGUGCACCUUCUAUAAAUGGGAGCAGCUUUUAUUAGCAAGCUGAGUUGGCAGGGAGCUGCCAUUGAUUACUGACGCUGCACAUUGCUUGUUGCGAAAGAGCAAACACUGCUCCCGGUGAGGAAAACCCAGAAUCUCACCAGGACUGCCUGUGUUGCAAGCUUCCCGUCCUGCAUCGCAGCUGGGAAGCAUCGUUCUCGGCUCUCCCUCAAGAGCUCGUCGGUCCUUUGGCAUCCCAGGAAGCCGCCUUGGGUUCUGGGUUCAUUUCUCUUCUUCGAGAAGAUUGAGUAAAAGCGUGUGUAUCGGCAAAGUUCAGCAGAGACCCAGACCUAGAGGCACUGGAAUUUUAUUACGAUGGUUGUCAGAAAAACGCCUCCCAAAAGCUGUGCAUAGUCAUCGGAACACGCGGGUCUUUGUUCCAAACCUGCUCCUGAAAGCUUCCCUCAGUGCCAGAACUCCCAAGGCCAGGGCUGGAGUGGCCUCUUAUGGAGGAAACCCUUCAUUCUCUAGUCGCUGACCUUAACUUUGGAUUGCGCCGUGCGUGUCCCUUUUGGACAGUGUCUAAGCAUCUUCAUUAGUAUCAGGGAUGAAGAGCUGCCGUACCCAUUGGCCUGGCUUGCCCAAAAAGCAACUUGGAGAGUAGGAAUUCAGAUUUUUCAGAAAAACAUCACGUACCUUUCCUUGGGGACGCUCAUGCUUACAGCCGUGACACUGGCAUUGCUGUGGCAUCUGGAAUUGGAGAUGGGCUGGCCAUCCCGUGAAUGGCUGGGUCAUUUUAUUUAUAGGCUAACAAAAGCCGCCAGCUGUUUGCUAGGAACCUAGAACCUGCCUGCGACGCCCCUCUAAAUAAGACAGAAAGGACAAACCCACCUUGUCCCAUUGUGAGUCUGUCCUUCUACAGCUCAGGAGCUUUGCAACCAUAAAGCGAUAUCCAGGCUAGUCUCCCUGCUGAACCAUGGUAGUUUACAAAGCCAGGGGCAGCAACACAUUUGGUAACAGGUCCAGUGAAGCUGUAAAAGUAUCCAAAGAGGGAACAUGACACCCUCCUCCCCAACUCAUAAUUAAAUGCUCCCUUUGACACCAUUAACUACAAGAAGCCUUCCCGGGUUUCACAAGCUACUCUUAGACCAAAGACUAUCAUCUCUCUAUCCUCAGAUCAG